CUCCCUUUUGACUAUUUAAGUAAUUAAAUUAUAUAGCAUUAAUUACAAACAACACCUUUGGCCCUUCUUAAAAUUAAUGAAUUAUUUUAUAUUUUAUGAGUAUUUUUACCUGCCUGGGGUCACAACUAAAUUUUUUAUAAUAUAACUAAGUCGCAGUCUGAUCUUGUAUUGAGGUGAUAUAAACAUCAACAGACCACUGAGUAUACAAUUUUUGCCGUAGUAAAUAAGAUCUGUUUGAUAUAAAUAAGGUAUUUACUUUUCAUUUCUGCCAGACAAAGGUUCUCGUCUUAAAAAUCGCCUAAAUUUUAUGAAUUCGAAAACCGGAGCUCAGAUUUGAAAAUUGCAGACUUCAAAGUGUUUAGCCAUUGGUCCCCACUUUCACAGUGAAUGUGUUUUAAAGUAAGUUAUUUCCCUUUCCCACUCGCUGGCUCCAGCUGGUAAGCAAUGUUCCACUGAGCUGGGAGUCGGCUACUUACAUGCUGCAGCUUCAGACGACAGUAUGCAGAUGUGGGAGGGACAGCCGAAUUUCAGAAGCUGGGAAAUUAGGGCACCGUAAAUAACCAUCCAAGCCACCAACAUCAUCACAUUUUAAAUCAGGAAUAGGUUUAUGUUUGAUUAUUUCAUUAUUGUUAUUUCUUUUGGAUAACGAUGGUAACGAAGAAUCC